GCGCCCGUAGCUCAGCUGGAUAGAGUACCUGACUACGAAUCAGGUGGUCGGAGGUUCGAAUCCUUCCGGGCGCG
rnacentral:tRNA from 1 species